UGGAAUGCAGCAAUUAUCACCU
rnacentral:miRNA from 2 species